GUGAGAACUGUAGGUAAUAAGCUAUAUGGAAUUUGUUUGUUUGUUCACUCAGUAUAUGGAAGAACCAGCAGUGAACAGAUAAGCUGAUAUUGAGCAUAAUAAGGAUAUGUUUAGAGUCUUUGACUUGGUAAUAUUCAGUUGAUUUUCCAGCUUGUGAAGAAUAUGAAGCUUGGUUUUCUUGAUAGAUCUUACAAGUAGAGCCCUCCCUGGAGAACUGGCGUGAUUUCUGAGAAACAAGCUAAUUGCCUUGAUUCUUUGCACUUCCAACUGCUGAAAGGGGAUACUGUGCUUUGAUUUGGAUGUAGCUCUAGUUUAGGGAGAGCAAACUACCUCUUUGGCCUGAGUGGCUGUGUGUUUCAGAAAGUCAUAGGCAUAGGAUAUAGAGGAAGCCCAAGCUAAAAGGGCGACAUUUCCAUGGUGGCUGCUUGAUUCCUUACCCACAGCUGCACAAGGACCCUAUCCUUGAACACGUUCUUAACUUCGUUUUGUUUACUUUGUAAUUUGGUUUUGCAGCAGUCCAUCUUGAAGGCUACAGAAAGGAUAAUGAUUUCACAAGAACUUGAGUUGAACCCAAGCGGAAGAAGAGGGAGUUAAGAGAUCUGCCCCUGAAAUCAACCUGCUCAUUUAAAGUAGAUUUGCAGAAAAGCAGCCCGAGAAAACAGCAAAUCAGUCUGCCUUAUCUAAAAGGGAUAAAAUCAUCCCCACAGGAGGAAGUGUGUAACCAGACCCGCCAGUUUAUCACCUCUUCACGAGACCUUGAAAUAGCUCUAUGAAUUUAUAUUGUUUCCGAAAGACAUAUGAGCCCUGCUGUCGUACCCUGUCCCACUGUGAGCCUUGAAAUCAAUCCAUUGCUCUUUCAAACUUUGGGAAAACGACAGGCUGCUAACGUCGGCGAACUCUCGGCACUCACAAAUGUGUUUUCACUCCUCCAGUUUACUGAAGUGGAAGACAGGAAGGACAUGCUUUUCUCAAAAGAGCCACAUAGGCUCAGAGACCUCUAUUUUGCAGACAUGAGUGCCUUUUGCCUCCCUAACAUGAGCAGCUGUGCCCUCUCCAGUCCCACAAAUCACCACCUCCUCUGUAUUAGCCAAUGCAGUCAACUCCUGUUUCCCUUUGGAGAUUUGAUGAAGGUUCAAGCAUGCCCUCCUCCCACAGUCCAACAGGCCAGGGCUGGAUCUUCAGUGCCUGCCACACCACAAAUCAUCCUCCCUACCUUAGGUUCCAUGCGUUUUUUCAUGUUGCCUUAGUUGAUUGUCAUUUACUUGAUGGGAAUUUUACCAGUGUCAAUACCUCACUGUGGAGCAGCAAAUGUCUUAUGGGUUACUAGACAUACUCUACACUGUAAUGUUUUAUUUUUUUCUAUAUGGACAUAAUUUGAUAUGCUGUUUCUUCAACUUAGCAUACACAAUACCUUUUUUGUUUUGUUUUUGUUUUUUGUUUGUUUGUUUUCGGUUUUUUGUUUUUUGUUUUUUUUUUUGUUUUGGGGUUUUUUUGAGACAGGGUUUAUCUUAUAGCACUGGCUGUCCCGGAACUCACUUUGUAGACCAGGCUGGCCUCAAACUGAGAAAUCCACCUGCCUCUACCUCCCAAGUGCUGGGAUUAAAGGCAGGCCCUACCACCACCUGGCUACACAUUACCUUAUUGAAUUAAAAAUAACUUUAUUAUGAUUACAUUAUUAUUUAUGCCUGUGUGUCUUUGUAUGCAUGAGUGCAUGCUUGUGAGUGUGUAUGUUUGUGUGUGUGUGUGUGGUGUGUGUGUGUGUGUGUGUGUGUGUGUGUAUGUAUGUUUGUGUGUAGGUACACUAGAAAGGCAGAAGAGAGAACUGGAUCCCAGAGAGCUGGCAUUAAAGGCAAUUAUAGGUCAUAUAAUAUGGGUGCUAGGAAUUGAACAGUGAUCCUCUAAAAGAGAUACUAACAUUCUUAACUUCUGAGCUAUCUCACCAGCCCCCCAAAUGAACUUUGACAGGCAACUAAAAGCAAUUUAUACAAGCAUCUUCAUAGAAUUAGACAGUUCUAUAAUUAAAAAAAAAGAAUAAAAACAUAUUACUGAUAUCUCUGAGGAGGCUAGGAAACAUAGUUGUGUGAUAACUGGGGGCAUAGCUCUCAUUUUUCCUAUAAUUAAUAAAUAUAUGUUUUUUUUUUCAUAAGCAAUUUCACAGAGUGGAUAACAUAUCAGUGCUUCUUUAAGCCUAGAUAAUGACUGAUAGUCAUAAACUUUUCCUGGUAUUUACUAGCUAUGUAUAUUUCAGCCAUUUAAUUAAUUUCUCUGCUGCUAUUUUUAUCUUUAGAAUGGAGAUAAUGGUAUUUUCCAUGGAUAUAUUGUAGGAAGUAACUGGGAGUCUAUCUAACAUCCUUAAUGGGCUACCUGGCAUUUUGUAAGUGCUUUAUAGAUGUUUGUUUGGUAGUCUUAUUAUAAUUGCUAAAUAUAGCAAUACAAGAAAAUUUUUCUCAAGUACAUUUCCAGGAUGUGGAAGGCAAGAUCCAGUGUAACACUUUUUUUUUUUUUAACCAAGCCAUAAACAUGUAGAUAUCUUUUCUAGCUCUUCUAUUAUAGAUAGAAAUGGUAUUGGAGGCAUGCACAAAUGUUUAAUACCUAAGUAUUCAUCUAUGAGGUUUUAAAAGUUGUAUCUCACAAGAUAGAUGAAAAUGAAACAUGUCUUAUAAUCAAGUAUGAUGGUACAUGCUUUGCUAACCCAUCAUCACUCAGGUGGCUGAGGCAGGAGAAUCAUGAAUUAGAGACCAGUCUGUGUUACAGAGUGAAAUCCAGGGUAGAAUGAGGCACCUCUUUGAGACUCUAUCUGCAAAGCAAAGCGUAAGAGUACUACCCUGGCUUCUUCUGAGAACAGGAUAGAUGGAAAUUACUCAACUGAAAAACAAGUCUCUGAGCAAUUCCAAGUGAUGGGGGAGGCUACCACCCCCAGAAUGACUACCUGGGACUAGCCCAAGACCCUCUACACCUGAUAGUUAUGUUUUUAAAUAAAUAAGUAACUUUGUAUAAUUAUUUGUGAGAUGUGGAAGUUGGUCUAAAGUAGUUGACUACUUAAGGCUUCUUUAAUGUUAUUUAUAG
rnacentral:lncRNA from 1 species